GAUGAACGCUGGCGGCGUGCCUAAUACAUGCAAGUCGAGCGAACAGACGAGGAGCUUGCUCCUCUGACGUUAGCGGCGGACGGGUGAGUAACACGUGGAUAACCUACCUAUAAGACUGGGAUAACUUCGGGAAACCGGAGCUAAUACCGGAUAAUAUAUUGAACCGCAUGGUUCAAUAGUGAAAGACGGUUUUGCUGUCACUUAUAGAUGGAUCCGCGCCGCAUUAGCUAGUUGGUAAGGUAACGGCUUACCAAGGCGACGAUGCGUAGCCGACCUGAGAGGGUGAUCGGCCACACUGGAACUGAGACACGGUCCAGACUCCUACGGGAGGCAGCAGUAGGGAAUCUUCCGCAAUGGGCGAAAGCCUGACGGAGCAACGCCGCGUGAGUGAUGAAGGUCUUCGGAUCGUAAAACUCUGUUAUUAGGGAAGAACAAAUGUGUAAGUAACUAUGCACGUCUUGAUGGUACCUAAUCAGAAAGCCACGGCUAACUACGU
rnacentral:rRNA from 1 species